CCUACGUGAGGCAGCAGUGAGGAAUAUUGGUCAAUGGACGCAAGUCUGAACCAGCCAUGCCGCGUGCAGGAAGACGGCUCUAUGAGUUGUAAACUGCUUUUGUACGAGGGUAAACGCAGAUACGCGUAUCUGUCUGAAAGUAUCGUACGAAUAAGGCUCGGCUAACUCCGUUCCAGCAGCCGCGGUAAUAAGGAGGAUUCAAUCGUUCGCCGGAUUUAUUGGGUUUAAAGGGUGCGUAGGCGGUCUGAUAAGUUAGAGGUGAAAUCCCGAGGCUCAAAUUCGGAAUUGCCUCUGAUACUGGUCGGCUAGAGAGUAGUUGCGGUAGGCGGAAUGUAUGGUGUAGCGGUGAAAUGCUUAGAGAUCAGACAGAACACCGAUUGCGAAGGCAGCUUACCAAGCUACUUCUGACGUUGAGGCACGAAAGCGUGGGGAGCAAACAGGAUUAGAUACCCGUGUAGUC
rnacentral:rRNA from 1 species